rnacentral:lncRNA from 13 species
AUAUAGCGAACACUGGGUAGAGAAACAGCAAUGCGGAUUAAUCUGUCGACACGUUUAGGCGUAACAGCAAGAAUCGAAUUUACAAGAAAACGGAAAAAAUUGUGAUCAUAAAGGAAACUCUCGCAGCACGAUGAAAGCCUUUUUUAAUAUUUUCCUGGUGCUCCUAGUAAUAGUAGCCACUGUGAUACCAUUGGGAACAUGUAAACCUAGGACGAUUGAACGUGUCACAAACCAGGUCAUUGAACAUACGACUGAAGAACAUACAACUGCAUUCAUAAAUAUAGAAAGUACCACCGUCACCCCUCAUCACCGCAACAUCAUAAAGGCUCCUGCGAGAAAUGCGAAACUUGGUUGUCCUUCAGGCGAGAAGCUGGAUCCUCGUGGAAUGUGUCGUAAAGUGUUGUAAUGACAAUGAUUACGUCCAGACUCAAGAAUAAUAUAAACUAAUACUUCAAACUGGCUGAUCUGGUUAAGAUGAUGGGAACUAAUUUAAAAAAUAAAAAUUAAUGCAUAUGUGUGACUUCUAAGAAAUAACAUUAAUCUUUAAGUUAAUGUCAACUAUUACGUCGUUGUAGAUUCUUUGAUUUAUAAUAAAUAAACUAAUCCAAUUGUUAAA